rnacentral:SRP_RNA from 1 species
CGCACUAGUCGGGGAGAUAGCGGUGCCCUGUAACUCGCAAUCCGCUACAGCGGGGAUGAAUUCCUGCACCCGGGCAUGUGUUGUGCCGCAGUCCCCAUAAGCGGUGUUGAGGGAUCGGUCUCGCGCAACGAGACCCCGUGAACCAUGUCAGGCGGGGAACCGAGCAGCAUUAAGCGGUCAGUCUUGUGUGCCGUGAGCCAGCCGUUCCUGAGCUGGCUGUGGGGGA